GACGAACGCUGGCGGCGUGCCUAAUACUUGCAAGUAGAACGCUGAAGGAGGAGCUUGCUCUUCUGGAUGAGUUGCGAACGGGUGAGUAACGCGUAGGUAACCUGCCUGGUAGCGGGGGAUAACUAUUGGAAACGAUAGCUAAUACCGCAUAAAAUUGAUUAUUGCAUGAUAGUCAAUUAAAAGGUGCAAUUGCAUCACUACCAGAUGGACCUGCGUUGUAUUAGCUAGUUGGUGAGGUAACGGCUCACCAAGGCAACGAUACAUAGCCGACCUGAGAGGGUGAUCGGCCACACUGGGACUGAGACACGGCCCAGACUCCUACGGGAGGCAGCAGUAGGGAAUCUUCGGCAAUGGACGGAAGUCUGACCGAGCAACGCCGCGUGAGUGAAGAAGGUUUUCGGAUCGUAAAGCUCUGUUGUAAGAGAAGAACGAGUGUGAGAGUGGAAAGUUCACACUGUGACGGUAUCUUACCAGAAAGGGACGGCUAACUACGUG
rnacentral:rRNA from 1 species